AUUGAACGCUGGCGGCAUGCUUUACACAUGCAAGUCGAACGGUAACAGGGUGCUUGCACCGCUGACGAGUGGCGAACGGGUGAGUAAUGCGUCGGAACGUGCCGAGUAGUGGGGGAUAACGCAUCGAAAGGUGUGCUAAUACCGCAUACGUACUGAGGUAGAAAGUGGGGGACCUUCGGGCCUCACGCUAUUCGAGCGGCCGACGUCUGAUUAGCUAGUUGGUGAGGUAAAGGCUCACCAAGGCGACGGUCAGUAGCGGGUCUGAGAGGAUGAUCCGCCACAGUGGGACUGAGACACGGCCCAGACUCCUACGGGAGGCAGCAGUGGGGAAUUUUGGACAAUGGGCGCAAGCCUGAUCCAGCCAUGCCGCGUGUCUGAAGAAGGCCUUCGGGUUGUAAAGGACUUUUGUCCGGGAGCAAAUGCCUGGUGUUAAUAGCACUGGGAGCUGAGAGUACCGGAAGAAUAAGCACCGGCUAACUACGUGCCAGCCGCCGCUGUAAGAC
rnacentral:rRNA from 1 species